AACUCUCAUCUCUACAAUAUAAAAAGCUGAAAUGAUAUAUAAUUAGCACUCCUGGAGAAAAGCUUGUGCUAGCAUUAAUAAGGACAGAAGGAGAAUUUUCGGAAGCCUAAGAUGACACCCAAAUUGGUAAUACUGGUGACAGCUGUGGCCCUUGUCUGCCUGGUACAACUUGGGAAAUCAGAAAAGGCAGAAAAGGAGAAGAAAGGCCACGAUGGGGAUGUUGCUGGUGAAAAAGAUCCAAGAGGUGUGGGUGAAUUGCUUAAUGGAGUGCUAGCGCCAGUGGAAGAGACACUUGAGUCACUUCUGCCACUUAAAUAAAAUGUGACAUUUUAUUACAGAAAUACAUAUUCUAUAACAUCAUUGGAAAUGUUUUUUCUGUCAUGAUACAUUAACCUAUAAUACAUAUGAGCAUAACUAA